UUAGGGAAAACAAUAUGGCGGAAUUAUUGAAAUUAAUUUAAGGUCAUUCCUGAUAACUACUCAUACAUGUUAUACAAUUCUAUGUAACACUCUAAAGGAACUAUAUCCGGUUUUCAAAAGCGGGCUUUUUUUAUAACUUCCAAUAGGCCACGUGAUUAUGAAAUUAACUGUUUUUCCCCCAUUAAGUCACAUGACCAUAUUCUAUUAUCGACUAAGCAAGCAGAGCUACUUGUGAUGUGAUUGGUGAAGUUGAGGAAUUACUAAAGGUAAAAUAGUUAUUAUCAUUUGAAAGUUUCCUGCUUCCCCUGCGUUUUAUUUAAUGAGAAUGUUUGUACCGCCUAUUAAUUUCCUUAUUGUUAUUUAAAAAGAAGCAUUUUAAUGAUACGCUAUUAACAAAUGAAAAUUUUCUUGUUAAAGCUGUUUCUUGGCUUUUCAAAGUAUGACUUCAGAAAGAGAUAUGUUUAAUACAGAAAGAGUAUUAUAUUGCACUGAAGAUUAUAUCCAAUUAUCUUGUUUACUUUUAUACAUGAUACAGUUUAGAUAAUGAAAAGAGAAUACUUCUUAUGUCAUUUAAUUACGUAAUUAUAAAAUGAUAUGAGCGUUUUUGAAAAGCAGCUUUUUUUUGUUUGAGAAAGUUUACUUGAUACUUAUAAAUUUGGUCUGUAUAUAUUCAUCAGCGCGAGAAAAUAUUUCCGUUUCCUUACAGCGGAACUCGAACCACUUUUUAUAAGACAGCAAACAUGGUGGACAAACGGCGCCACUGCAGCUGUCUAUUUUAGAACAUGAUCGAAGUAAAAUGCAGGUGUUUGUCAAUUUAUAAAUGGAUAUCAAAUGCAGUCGGGUAUGUCUGCUAAAGCAUCUUUUUAACCUCAUUCAUUCUCUUAUUUAUUCCUAAAAUUGACUUGACAUUAAUAGUUUGCAAUCGUUAUUUCCACUAAUAAAUUCAUAUUUUUAUGAUUUAUAUUUCGUCUUAUUUUCAUAAUGGACAUUUAUUAUGAUACUUCACUGAGAUUUAUAGUCAAAUAACAAACUAUGUAAAAGAACUUAACAUAAAUAAAUACCUCACUCGAAUAAUCAAUUAAGUUCUGCUAGUUCGAUUGAUUCAAAAAAAAAGAAGAGAAAAGGGAAAUGUGAUAUUUAAAUUAGCAUUUGCUAGCGAGACGUAGCUUUAUUGAACUAUUUGAAUUAUAACAACUAAAAAUAAACCAUCCAGAGAACAUAUCUUUAAUAAUUCAAUAAUAUCAGAUGUGAGAAGAAACUGAAUAAAUUUGUUUGACUACGUGUGACUGACAUACACUCUAUUUAAAGUACAUUUUCGCAAGCGAUAGACAACAGAGUUCUCUUUUUACAAUGAAGUUUUCACUGAUCGUUCAUUUAUUAUAGGAUCUUUCUUGGUAGAGGUUUAAAAAGCUACAGCAGAAUACAAUUAAUUCUUUACUGAGAGAUGAGCUUUCUAAGGUAUUCUGACAGCAUAUGCUUUUGAUUAUAUAGUUGAUCUACAAGUGGCAUAAUUAGAUAAGAUAACAGAUUAAAUCAGAUAAUGAGUAAACUCGAAGAUUAUUCUCUGUAAAUUAAAUAAGUAUAAUUAACUAAUAAUUCAAAUACUUUUAUGAAACAUUUGAGGAGAGAAUGGAAAGACUUCACCUCUAUCACGAACGCCAUGGAAAGAGAUCAUUACGUUUACUGGGUAAUGUCCAUGGUUAUUUUGAAUAUAUUUCUUUUAAUGUACAAUUUCGAAAAGGAACGACAGAUGUUCGUAGCGGAAUAUUGAACUACUUUUUUUUCCAUAAAGCUUUGUUAAAUUCAACCUGUUUCACAACACAUUGCAUUCAUAUUCCACUAACGUUAUAUAUCUACCCCUCCCUUCCCUCUCCUCUUUUAACCUUAUAUCCCGUCUGCUUUUGCUGUCAUGCCCAAAUGUAUUUGGAAAAUCGUAGGUAAAUCUAUGCCUCAUUAUUGACUUUGUCAUUUUUGCAGCGGAAAAGUUUAUCAACAAGCAGUUUACUGACAAAGCAAGACUAAUAGUAUCAAGCAAUGUAUGGAUGAAUCAAAUACCAACCAAAGAGUGUGACGUUCUAAUCACAUUUCCCAAGUCAGCUCAGGAGGAGACGGUUAAGUGGUUAUUGCAAUGUUUUAGAGGUCGAGUUCCCGAGCUUAUUGUUCGAGUGAGAUAUCACAACAACACUAAAAUUUGGGGAUUGUAUUUUACAACCAACAAUAGAAGCUUAUUAAGAGGAGCAGAAAUUCACGGCUUAAUAAAAGAGGUAAAAGUCGAAUUUGGUGGAGGAAAAAGAGAAUUCACAGUCGAUGAGAAAGAAAUAUUCCUGCAUAAUGACGAUAUCGAUAGGCUUUUAACAAGCGAAGAACGCCAAUGCAUAGUUCGAUCAAUGAUUGAUAAUUUAAGAGCAUUAAAAAAUGAAACAUGUGGAAAUAUAAAAUUUCUUCAGGGUCAAGCUAUAGUUCCACUUUUGGAGUCAAAAGGAAUUAUACAGCACGUGCUUCCCAUUCAUGAUUCCAAGGAUUUAUCAUUUUUGAAAAAUGCAUGGGUAAAGAAAUUCUGGAAGAACCAACCCCUAAAUAAAAUAGCUGAAUACUUUGGCAUUAAGAUUGGAAUGUAUUUUGCCUACCUUGGACAUUAUACUAAAGCUUUAUUAUUACCUACAAUAAUUGGUAUCAUUAUUUGGGCAAUUGCUGGAAAAGAACAGAAAAUAGAUGAUCUUUUAUUUGUUAUAUUCGCUUUCAUCAAUGUUGUUUGGUCGACACUCUACUUAGAGCAUUGGAAAAGACGUAGUUCAGAAAUUGCCUAUGAAUGGGGAACUUUAGAUAAAGAGGACGAUUUAUUAGUAGAACCAAGACCUUUAUAUAAAGGAAAUCUGAUCCAGAAUCCCGUUACGAAUAGGACAGAGAGGCAUUACCCAGCAUGGAAGCGCAAUCUCUUUCGUUAUUUUGUGACGGUACCCGUAAUUUGCAUUUCUCUUGGAGUCGUGUUUGGAGUUAUGCUGUUAAUAUUUAUGGUUCAAGAUUGGAUUAAUCUCAAAAUUUCCAAAGGAUUUUUGCCUUCUUUUACCAAGUUUCUUCCUAAAGUUGCUUUAGCCCUUUCAAUAGGAAUUUUGGAUAAUGCUUAUAAAAAAAUUGCAGUGUGGUUAAAUAACAAAGAAAAUCAUCGAUUGGACGAUGAACACGAAAACCAUUUGAUUAUAAAGCUUAUAUUGUUUCAAUUUGUCAAUUCAUUCCUUUCUCUUUUCUAUAUUGCAUUCUACCUUCAAGAUAUGAAUCGUCUAAGAGAGCAAUUGGCCGCUUUGCUUAUAACUCGUCAAGUAAUUGGAAACAUUAAAGAGGCUCUCUUACCUUAUGUAAAAAAUCGUAUAAAACUGUUUAGGAUUGGAUAUGAAAUGACCUCUGAUAUUAGUCCAAAUACGUUGACAAAGCAAGCGACGGAAAUUAAAGAGAAAAUAGUUUCUAGAGUUGAAACUGAGAUCAGACACAGAAAACCAGAAAAACUAGAGAACGUUAAGCCUGAAAGUUCGGUGGAAUAUUCCGGUCCAACCCUGUCUCAAGCAGAGAUCGAAGCUAGCAUGGAAAAGUAUGAAGAUACUUUUGAAGAUUAUUUAGAAAUGUUUAUACAAUUUGGGUAUGUGGUUUUGUUUUCUUCGGCUUUUCCUCUAGCGGCACUGUGUGCCUUCCUAAAUAAUGUUAUUGAGAUACGAUCGGAUGCCUUUAAGCUCUGUCAUACCUUUCAAAGACCAUUUGGCCAACGAGUUCAAAAUAUAGGAACAUGGCAGGAUGCUCUGGAAGUGAUGAGUGUAACAGCCGUGAUAAUAAAUUGUGCUCUUAUUGGGAACUCUGGCUUGGCUCACAGACUCUUUCCUAAUUUUGGUACAACCGAAAUGAUUGUUCUUAUAGUUGCUUUGGAGCAUAUCAUUCUCGCAUGCAAAUUUCUUUUGGCUUAUGCAAUACCUGAUAUUCCGCAUUGGAUUGCCCAAGAAAAGGCUCGUCUGGAAUUUUUGAGGAGAGGGGCUUUCAAAACUUUGGAAAGCAAGGUACAAAACCAAUCAUCUAUUGAUCACGGAAACUCACCCGUACAUAAUCAAGACUCCCCAUUAGAAAAUUGUGAUAAAUAUUCAAAAAGAUAUGCCGAGAAGGACAUUCAGUGAAAAGAGUGUAGUCAUUUUGAAAAUUAUUUUAAUCCUUAACCUUUACCUUCUAGUCUUCUAAAAGAAUUAAAAUUUAAUUUAACUGCUCACCAAAACAAAAUUUGCUAUUUUCUCGUAUUUUGUUAUUUGUUCUAAUAAUACUUUUUCUUCUUUUUUUUCUCGCUUGAAUACUCGUCGAGUAGUGCUUAAUCACGUAAAUCUGCAUUAAAAAAUUUACACUUUUCUCUGCUAAUUACAGUAAGAUAUUAAUUUUUUCGAAUUGGUCAGUCUUUUAACUCUCUGGUCGUAUUAUUACAUUUAUUAUAAAUGAUAUGUAAGUUUUUUUUGUUAAAUUUUCAAAAGUUAUAUAAUUGUACAAAAAGAAUCCUGCUUAAAGAAAAAAAACUUGUACAAUUGUCGUUCACCGUCUCAUUUUUUAUUUAAUAAAGAACAUAAAAUUUGCAAUAAA
rnacentral:misc_RNA from 1 species